rnacentral:rRNA from 1 species
CUCAGGAUGAACGCAGCUACAGGCUUAACACAUGCAAGUCGAGGGGCGAGCGGGGUCUUAGCUUGCUAAGACUGCCGGCGACCGGCGCACGGGUGAGUAACGCGUAUCCAACCUUCCCCUUAGUAGGGCAUAGCCCGUAGAAAUGCGGAUUAAUACCCUAUGUUUUCCGAUGAUGGCAUCUGAGUUGGAAUAAAGGUUUACCGCUAAGGGAUGGGGAUGCGUCCGAUUAGGCAGCAGGCGGGGUAACGGCCCACCUGGCCAACGAUCGGUAGGGGUUCUGAGAGGAAGGUCCCCCACAUUGGAACUGAGACACGGUCCAAACUCCUACGGGAGGCAGCAGUGAGGAAUAUUGGUCAAUGGACGUAAGUCUGAACCAGCCAAGUAGCGUGCAGGAUGACGGCCCUAUGGGUUGUAAACUGCUUUUAUGCGGGGAUAAAGUGACGUACGUGUACGUUUUUGCAGGUACCGCAUGAAUAAGGACCGGCUAAUUCCGUGCCAGCCGCCGC